UUUCCGUAGGUGAACCUGCGGAAGGAUCAUUAUCGUACAAAAUGUGAGGGGCAUGCGAGGGCUGUCGCUGACCCAAAAGGUCGUGCACGCCCGAGUGUGUCCUCUUGCAUAAUAAUCCAUCUCACCCUUUGUGCAUCACCGCGUGGGCACCCUUCGGGAUCAUCUCGGAGGGGGGCUCGCGUUUUCACACAAACCCCCCUUUUAAAAGUGUAGAAUGACCACAUUUAUGCAAUCAAUACAACUUUCAACAACGGAUCUCUUGGCUCUC
rnacentral:misc_RNA from 1 species